rnacentral:misc_RNA from 1 species
GAUGAAGAACGUAGCGAAAUGCGAUACGUAAUGUGAAUUGCAGAAUUCAGUGAAUCAUCGAAUCUUUGAACGCAUAUUGCGCUCUUUGGUAUUCCGAAGAGCAUGCUUGUUUGAGUAUCAGUAAACACCUCAAAGCUUUUGGAUUUUUUUAUCGAAAAGCUUUGGACUUGAGCAAUCCCAACACCAAUCUUUUUGAGAUCGGUGGCGGGUUGCUUGAAAUGCAGGUGCAGCUGGACAUUCUCCUGAGCUAAAAGCAUAUUCAUUUAGUCCCGUCAAACGGAUUAUUACUUUUGCUGCAGCUAACAUAAAGGGAGUUUGACCGUAUUGGCUGACUGAUGCAGGAUUUCACAAGGGUCGGCAACGAUUCUUGUUAAACUCGAUCUCAAAUCAAGUAAGACUACCCGCUGAACUUAAGCAUAUCAAUAAGCGGAGGA